GACAGAGGUUGCAAACGUUGUUCGGAAUCACUGGGCAUAAAGCGCACGUAGGCGGCUGACUAAGUCAGAUGUGAAAUCCCUCGGCUCAACCGGGGAACUGCGUCUGAUACUGGUCGGCUUGAGAACGGUAGGGGUGAGCGGAACUCCAGGUGGAGCGGUGAAAUGCGUUGAUAUCAUCAGGAACACCAGUGGCGAAGGCGACCCACUGGGUCAUUCUGACGCUGAGGUACGAAAGCUAGGGUAGCGAACGGGAUUAGAAACCCUGUAGU
rnacentral:rRNA from 1 species